CUUGUCUCAAAGAUUAAGCCAUGCAUGUCUAAGUAUAAAUAGUAUACAGUGAAACUGCGAAUGGCUCAUUAAAACAGUUAUAGUUUAUUUGAUAAUGGAAAGCUACAUGGAUAACCGUGGUAAUUCUAGAGCUAAUACAUGCUGUCAAACCCGACUUUUUGGAAGGGUUGUAUUUAUUAGAUAUUAAGCCAAUAUUCCUUGUGUCUAUUGUGGUGAAUCAUAGUAACUGAUCGAAGCUCUUUUUAGAGCUAAAUCAUUCAAGUUUCUGCCCUAUCAGCUUUCGAUGGUAGUGUAUUGGACUACCAUGGCAGUCACGGGUAACGGAGAAUUAGGGUUCGGUUCCGGAGAGGGAGCCUGAGAAACGGCUACCACAUCUAAGGAAGGCAGCAGGCGCGUAAAUUACCCAAUCCUGAUUCAGGGAGGUAGUGACAAGAAAUAACAACCUGGGGGACCUCCGGUCCUUACGGGAUUGCAAUGAGAACAAUUUAAAAGACUUAUCGAGGAACAAUU
rnacentral:rRNA from 2 species